UACAGAGGGGGCAAGCGUUGUUCGGAAUUACUGGGCGUAAAGGGUGCGUAGGCGGUCGUGCAAGUCGGAUGUGAAAUCUCAGGGCUCAACCCUGAAACUGCAUUCGAUACUGCGUGGCUAGAGUGCUGGAGAGGAGACUGGAAUUUACGGUGUAGCAGUGAAAUGCGUAGAUAUCGUAAGGAAGACCAGUGGCGAAGGCGAGUCUCUGGACAGCAACUGACGCUGAGGCACGAAGGCCAGGGGAGCAAACGGG
rnacentral:rRNA from 1 species